rnacentral:lncRNA from 13 species
AACAAUUGGAGUGUUUGAGAACUGUGCCGACUAAAAAAAAGAGUAAAGGACAGUAUUAAGGUGGCAUCUAUUCAGAUGUGCAUAUGUAACAGUAUAGCUUCCGCCCCGACCUGGGCUCGAACCAGGGACCCUCUGGACACAUCAACAACUGACACCCACGAAGCAUCGUUACCCAUCGCUCCACAAAAGCCCACGGCCCUUACAGAGCAAAGGGGAACAACUACUUCAAGGUCUCAGAGCGAGUGACGUCGCCGAUUUUGAAACGCUAUUAGUGUGCACUACCGCUAACUCGCUAGCCAUUUCNNNNNNNNNNAACAAUUGGAGUGUUUGAGAACUGUGCCGACUAAAAAAAAGAGUAAAGGACAGUAUUAAGGUGGCAUCUAUUCAGAUGUGCAUAUGUAACAGUAUAGCUUCCGCCCCGACCUGGGCUCGAACCAGGGACCCUCUGGACACAUCAACAACUGACACCCACGAAGCAUCGUUACCCAUCGCUCCACAAAAGCCCACGGCCCUUACAGAGCAAAGGGGAACAACUACUUCAAGGUCUCAGAGCGAGUGACGUCGCCGAUUUUGAAACGCUAUUAGUGUGCACUACCGCUAACUCGCUAGCCAUUUCACAUCGGUUACACACACUUAACAGGGGUUUUUGCUUUGCAGUGUAUCUGGGGGUCGUACUGGAGAGAAGGCUGCUGGGGCUUCAAGUGCUGCCACUCCAUGGUCAAACAGAGCUACUGCACCGGAGAGGCUGGCAUCAAAACUACGAGCUCCUCGGCCUGUGUUCCGUUUGAGGAGGGACUUGAGCAGGAGGAAGAGGAGGAGCCUAAGACUCUACUGGAGAUGCACAGGGAGAAGCUUAAAGAUAAGAAGAAGAAGAAGAAGAAGCAGAAGAAGAAAAAGCACGGCUCAGACAGCAGCGACUCUGAGGAAGAUGAGGAGAAGAAGAAACAGAAACUGAACAAGGCCCUGGCUGCAGAG